CCUACGGGGGGCAGCAGUGGGGAAUAUUGGGCAAUGGGCGCAAGCCUGACCCAGCAACGCCGCGUGAAGGAAGAAGGCUUUCGGGUUGUAAACUUCUUUUCUCAGGGACGAAGCAAGUGACGGUACCUGAGGAAUAAGCCACGGCUAACUACGUGCCAGCAGCCGCGGUAAUAUGUAGGUGGCAAGCGUUAUCCGGAUUUACUGGGUGUAAAGGGCGUGUAGGCGGGAAAGCAAGUCAGAUGUGAAAACCAUGGGCUCAACCUGUGGACUGCAUUUGAAACUGUUUUUCUUGAGUACUGGAGAGGCAGACGGAAGUCCUAGUGUAGCGGUGAAAUGCGGAGAUAUUAGGAGGAACACCAGUGGCGAAGGCGGUCUGCUGGACAGCAACUGACGCUGAGGCGCGAAAGCGUGGGGAGCAAACAGGAUUAGAUACCCGUGUAGUC
rnacentral:rRNA from 1 species